rnacentral:rRNA from 1 species
AGUGAACGCUGGCGGUAGGCCUAACACAUGCGAGUCGAACGGCAGCACAGUAAGAGCUUGCUCUUACGGGUGGCGAGUGGCGGACGGGUGAGGAAUACAUCGGAAUCUACUUUUUCGUGGGGGAUAACGUAGGGAAACUUACGCUAAUACCGCAUACGACCUACGGGUGAAAGCAGGGGAUCUUCGGACCUUGCGCGAUUGAAUGAGCCGAUGUCGGAUUAGCUAGUUGGCGGGGUAAAGGCCCACCAAGGCGACGAUCCGUAGCUGGUCUGAGAGGAUGAUCAGCCACACUGGAACUGAGACACGGUCCAGACUCCUACGGGAGGCAGCAGUGGGGAAUAUUGGACAAUGGGCGCAAGCCUGAUCCAGCCACACCGCGUGGGUGAAGAAGGCCUUCGGGUUGUAAAGCCCUUUUGUUGGGAAAGAAAAGCAGCAGGUUAAUACCCCGCUGUUCUGACGGUACCCAAAGAAUAAGCACCGGCUAACUUCGUG